rnacentral:rRNA from 1 species
CCUACGGGCGGCAGCAGUGAGGAAUAUUGGUCAAUGGACGAGAGUCUGAACCAGCCAAGUAGCGUGAAGGAUGACUGCCCUAUGGGUUGUAAACUUCUUUUAUAUGGGAAUAAAAUGUUCCACGUGUGGGAUUUUGUAUGUACCAUAUGAAUAAGGAUCGGCUAACUCCGUGCCAGCAGCCGCGGUAAUACGGAGGAUCCGAGCGUUAUCCGGAUUUAUUGGGUUUAAAGGGAGCGUAGGUGGAUUGUUAAGUCAGUUGUGAAAGUUUGCGGCUCAACCGUAAAAUUGCAGUUGAAACUGGCAGUCUUGAGUACAGUAGAGGUGGGCGGAAUUCGUGGUGUAGCGGUGAAAUGCUUAGAGAUCACGAAGAACUCCGAUUGCGAAGGCAGUUCACUGGACUGCAACUGACACUGAGGCUCGAAAGUGUGGGUAUCAAACAGGAUUAGAUACCCGGGUAGUC